GCCCAAAGUGUUGAUAAUAUUCACAAUCUCUUGGUUUCAAAAUCCCCCGCCUUAACGGGCGUGCCGGUUCGAGUCCGGCCUUGGGUGCCA
rnacentral:tRNA from 1 species